GCCAGCAUCAAUUUUGGCCGUCGGAUAAAGGCUUGGGGAAUGCUGGCACCUCCGGGUGUGUUAUAGCCCCUUGUUGCAUACGUCGGCUGGGAUUGAGGACUGCAGCACGCCUUGCGGUUGGGGUUCGCCCACACCACGUGCUUAGGAUGCUGGCGUAAUGGCUUUAAGCGACCCGUCUUGAAACCACGGACCAAGGAGUUCUAACAUGCCUGCGAGUGUUUGGGUGGCAAACCCCGGGCGCGUAAUGAAAGUGAAAGGUUGGGACUCCCUUGAGGAGGCACUGACGNCCCGAUCCUGACGUUCUCCGAUGGAUUUGAGGUAGAGCAUGUAUGUUGGGACCCGAAAGAUGGUGAACUAUGCCUGAAUAGGGUGAAGCCAGAGGAAACUCUGGUGGAGGCUCGUAGCGA
rnacentral:rRNA from 1 species